GACGAACGCUGGCGGCGUGCUUAACACAUGCAAGUCGAACGAGGUCCAUGGAGUAGCAAUACUCCGGAAGACCUAGUGGCGAACGGGUGCGUAACACGUGAGAAACCAACCCCGGUCUCUGGGAUAACAGGUGGAAACACCUGCUAAUACCGGAUGCCGUCGUCUCCUCGCAUGGGGAGAUGACGAAAGGGCUACCGGAUCGGGACGGUCUCGCGGCCUAUCAGCUUGUUGGAGAGGUAACGGCUCACCAAGGCAUCGACGGGUAGCUGGUCUGAGAGGAUGAUCAGCCACACUGGGACUGAGACACGGCCCAGACUCCUACGGGAGGCAGCAGUGGGGAAUCUUGCGCAAUGGGCGAAAGCCUGACGCAGCAACGCCGCGUGCGGGAUGAAGGCCUUCGGGUUGUAAACCGCUUUUACCAGGAAGGAAAAUGACAGUACCUGGAGAAUAAGGUGCGGCCAACUACGUGCCAGCAGCCGCGGUGACACGUAGGCACCAAGCGUUGUCCGGAUUUAUUGGGCGUAAAGAGCUCGUAGGCGGUUCAGUAAGUCGGGUGUGAAAACUCUGGGCUUAACCCAGAGACGCCACCCGAUACUGCUGUGACUUGAGUCCGGUAGGGGAGUGGGGAAUUCCUGGUGUAGCGGUGAAAUGCGCAGAUAUCAGGAGGAACACCAAUGGCGAAGGCACCACUCUGGGCCGAGACUGACGCUGAGGAGCGAAAGCGUGGGUAGCAAACAGGAUUAGAUACCCUGGUAGUCCACGCCGUAAACGGUGGGCACUAGGUGUGGGUUCCAACCAACGGGAUCCGCGCCGUCGCUAACGCAUUAAGUGCCCCGCCUGGGGAGUACGGCCGCAAGGUUA
rnacentral:rRNA from 1 species